ensembl:ncRNA lncRNA:CR46249 long non-coding RNA:CR46249
AGAAACAACGUAUUGUAGAACGUGUCAGAAAGGGACUGAUUGACAUGUGAGCUUGCCCACCCGUGCCCCGUCUCGCUCACCGACGUAUUUCCCUCUCUUUCGCUCUCUGGGGCUUCUGUAGUGCGUGGGCUUGGUAGAAUGCUUUUGAAGAAACCUUUGCUGCUUUUGGCUUUAUUUUGUGUGUCGCAAAAGGGAACACCGAGAGGCACGCACACACAAACGCCAUUAAUGUAUCACAUAACCAAGUAGCAAGUAGCUAGAGAAGCGGAGAAAGGGGCCCAAAAGAAUGGAGGAGAAGGAGAAGAAAGGCGGGCGGAGAAUAGGGAGCCGUCUGAGUCUUAAUGAGAGAUGCACGCGUGUACCAAUUUCCCUUUGGGAAUCCAUUUUGGACACGUUCGACAUGUGGAACCUGUUUGUUUUCGGGAACCCAGACGGUGGAACCUGUUCCCAGUGAGGUCUCAGCCCAAUCCAGACACUCACGUUGCCAUCUCUAGAGUAUAGAAUAACGGUGUCAGGCUGCAGCAGAAACAACGAGGCAAAGUGAAAGAUUCUCGUUAUUAAAGAUGCCCAAAACAAGAAGAAGGGGAGCAGAUAAGAGCAGUAGACAAAGAUUUAAUAACAAGUUGUAUU